rnacentral:misc_RNA from 1 species
GAACUGCGAUAAGUAAUGUGAAUUGCAGAAUUCAGUGAAUCAUCGAGUCUUUGAACGCACAUUGCGCCCCCUGGCAUUCCGGGGGGCAUGCCUGUCCGAGCGUCAUUGCUGCCCUUCAAGCCCGGCUUGUGUGUUGGGUCGUCGUCCCCUCCGGGGGACGGGCCCGAAAGGCAGCGGCGGCACCGCGUCCGGUCCUCGAGCGUAUGGGGCUUUGUCACCCGCUCGAUAAGGACCGGCCGGGCGCCAGCCGGCGUCUCCAACCUUUUUUUCUCAGGUUGACCUCGGAUCAGGUAGGGAUACCUGCUGAACUUAAGC